rnacentral:ncRNA from 2 species
UACGUAGGGUGCAAGCGUUAAUCGGAAUUACUGGGCGUAAAGCGUGCGCAGGCGGUUUGUUAAGACAGUCGUGAAAUCCCCGGGCUUAACCUGGGAACUGCGAUUGUGACUGGCAAGCUAGAGUACGGCAGAGGGGGGUGGAAUUCCUGGUGUAGCAGUGAAAUGCGUAGAGAUCAGGAGGAACACCGAUGGCGAAGGCAGCCCCCUGGGCUAGUACUGACGCUCAUGCACGAAAGCGUGGGGAGCAAACAGG